UUAAAUUAGUCAUAUGGUUUUGUAUCUAAUUUUGGUAUAAAAAAGAGGACCUGAAAUUUCAAUAUAGGUGUAUUAAUUUGUGAGCUGAAAGUUUAUAAAUGAAAGCUCAAAGGUAAUUAGAUUCAAAAUCACAAGUUAUUUUACUUUGAUUUUACUUGUGCUGAAAGUUUAUAGCUCAUAACUUAACAAUUGGUAAUAUUACUUGUGUAGAUUUUGUGAUUAUGCGGAGCAAAAUAAGAGUAACAUACACAUAAAUUAUGAAUUUUGAAAGCAAGAAAAGGAAGGCUGCAAGUCCUAACUCAUGGCAGC
rnacentral:lncRNA from 1 species